GAGUUUGAUCCUGGCUCAGAGCGAACGCUGGCGGCAGGCCUAACACAUGCAAGUCGAACGAGGUCUUCGGACCUAGUGGCGGACGGGUGAGUAACACGUGGGAACGUGCCCUUUGGUACGGAAUAACUCAGGGAAACUUGAGCUAAUACCGUAUGUGCCCUUCGGGGGAAAGAUUUAUCGCCAUUGGAGCGGCCCGCGUCUGAUUAGCUAGUUGGUGAGGUAAUGGCUCACCAAGGCGACGAUCAGUAGCUGGUCUGAGAGGAUGACCAGCCACAUUGGGACUGAGACACGGCCCAAACUCCUACGGGAGGCAGCAGUGGGGAAUCUUGCGCAAUGGGCGAAAGCCUGACGCAGCCAUGCCGCGUGGAUGAUGAAGGUCUUAGGAUUGUAAACUCCUGUCAUGCGAGAACAAAGCCCGCAAGGGUGUGAUAGUACCGCAAGAGGAAGAGACGGCUAACUCUGUGCCAGCCGCCGCUGUAAC
rnacentral:rRNA from 1 species